CCUACGGGAGGCAGCAGUGAGGAAUAUUGGUCAAUGGGCGCGAGCCUGAACCAGCCAAGCCGCGUGAGGGAAGACGGUCCUAUGGAUCGUAAACCUCUUUUGUCGGGGAGCAAAAGACGCCACGCGUGGCGUUCCGAGAGUACCCGAAGAAAAAGCAUCGGCUAACUCCGUGCCAGCAGCCGCGGUAAUACGGAGGAUGCGAGCGUUAUCCGGAUUUAUUGGGUUUAAAGGGUGCGCAGGCGGAAGGUCAAGUCAGCGGUAAAAUCCGGGGGCUCAACCCCUUCGAGCCGUUGAAACUGGUUUUCUUGAGUGAGCGAGAAGUCUGCGGAAUGCGUGGUGUAGCGGUGAAAUGCAUAGAUAUCACGCAGAACUCCGAUUGCGAAGGCAGCAUACCGGCGCUCAACUGACGCUCAUGCACGAAAGUGUGGGUAUCGAACAGGAUUAGAUACCCUGGUAGUC
rnacentral:rRNA from 1 species